rnacentral:rRNA from 1 species
CGUAACACGUGAGCAACUUGCCGAUAUCUGGGGGAUAGCCGGCCCAACGGCCGGCUAAUACCGCAUACGCUCUUUGAGUGGAGUCACUUGAAGAGGAAACCUCCGGGGGAAAUCGAGGAGCUCGCGGCCUAUCAGCUAGUUGGCGGGGUAACGGCCCACCAAGGCGACGACGGGUAGCUGGUCUGAGAGGAUGGCCAGCCACAUUGGGACUGAGAGACGGCCCAGACUCCUACGGGAGGCAGCAGUGGGGAAUCUUGCGCAAUCGCCGAAAGGCUGACGCAGCGACGCCGCGUGUGGGAUGACGCCUUUCGGGGUGUAAACCACUGUUGCCCGGGACGAACUGCCUUUCGAGAGGCUUGACGGUACCGGGUGAGGAAGCACCGGCUAACUCCGUGCCAGCAGCCGCGGUAAUACGGAGGGUGCGAGCGUUGUCCGGAAUCACUGGGCGUAAGGGCGCGUAGGCGGCCCGGCAAGUCAGUGGUGAAAGCCCGAGGCUCGACUUCGGGUCGGCCACUGAUACUGCUAGGCAUGAGUCGACUAGAGGCAGAUGGAAUUCC